GAGAAGUUAGCAUAGGAGAAGAAAAGAAGCGUGAAAGAGAGAAGGGGAGAAAAGAGAAGAAAAAAACCUAGAAUUUGAUCUUCAAGAGGUACAGGAGGUAGAGAUGUGGCUCAUGAGGAGUAGCUUCGGAGAGUCUUAGCUUAUGUUAUUAUUAUUAUUAUUAUUAUAAAAUAAGUGUCUUGCUCUGUAAUGUAACACUGGUUAGAUAUUUUACGUUACUUUUACAUUUAUGUUGAGAGGAUUUUAUAAUCUCUUCUUAUGGAAGUUGUUGAAUAAUUUUCUAAAUGAUGGCGAUGUCGUACUGUUGACGGCCGAAGUGCUUAUGAAAUUCAGUUCUGAGUA